rnacentral:rRNA from 1 species
GACGAACGCUGGCGGCGUGCUUAACACAUGCAAGUCGAACGGUAAGGCCUUUCGGGGUACACGAGUGGCGAACGGGUGAGUAACACGUGGGUGAUCUGCCCUGCACUUCGGGAUAAGCUUGGGAAACUGGGUCUAAUACCGGAUAGGACCACGGUCUGCAUGGAUUGUGGUGGAAAGCUUUUGCGGUGUGGGAUGGGCCCGCGGCCUAUCAGCUUGUUGGUGGGGUGAUGGCCUACCAAGGCGACGACGGGUAGCCGGCCUGAGAGGGUGUCCGGCCACACUGGGACUGAGAUACGGCCCAGACUCCUACGGGAGGCAGCAGUGGGGAAUAUUGCACAAUGGGCGCAAGCCUGAUGCAGCGACGCCGCGUGGGGGAUGACGGCCUCGGUUGUAACGUACUUCUAGUCAGGACGAAGGGUAGGACGU